UGUUUACAAUAGUCGGAGCUUCUUGUUUCACUCGUCACUGAACUAUGCUCAGUAUUUUACUAGAUUUGUUUAGUGAAAUGGUCUAAUUGAGUAGUCGUUUAAUCAUCUCGCGGGGUUUGAUCAUAUCUCUGAGGGAUAUGGUGAAAUCCCGGUUUAUGCCAUUUCACUGCG